ACUGCCAUCUGUGGUGGCCUAGAGAAAAUGAAAAUGACAGGGUUCCAGAAUUUUUGAGGCCACGUGGUGGCACCUUGGACAUAACCAAUAGGCAGCAAGGCUAGAGUAGCAACAAAAAAGGCCUGACUCACUGGGAUUUGUGCUGGGGUUUUAUUCCUGGUUCUGGCUGUUUUCCCAGACCUCACCCAGGAGAAUAAGAGACUUCAGGCCAAAGUACCAUCAUCUGCUGAGAGGAAGCAAAGCAUAAAUAGGAAGCCUACUUAUGGUGAUGGGCAAAGGAGCUCUGCUUGGAUCCUGCUAUUACAGAAUUGUCAAAAGGAACAUUCCUCCAACCGCUUACAUUUUGUAGUAUAUUUGAGCAAAACAACACGAUUCCCAAAUCAGCCACUCCAACCAAGGAUGUGAUCUGACAGCACUUAUUCAAAAACAGAG